CGGAGCUGCGCUACAAGAGCCCGUCACGCUAAGUAGGCGAAUGCAGCCUUUGAAAGCACUAAGAGAAGUACCCGUGUGGACAGUGUUAAUAAUUGAGCUGUUGGUGGAACGACCAGCGUGUGUCGUGAGGCUCCCGUGAGGCGCCUGCUGUCCUCACCCGCUCUGCGUGGAGAGGGUCGUAGGGCCGGAGCGAUACCGCUGAGUCCUCAGCACCACUCUGCAGGAAAAGGUUUGGAAAGCAAAAGCAGGCAGAGCACUCCAGGAGGGAGCAGAGAGUCGUCGGGAAGGAAGAAAGCACGAGGUAAAGUUUUCAAGAACUAGAGAUCAUCAUCCUAAAAAAGAGGAAGCAAAGGGGAACUUAGUAGUGGCAGUCAAAACCAUGGAAGUCUCAGGUAAAGAAAAAGAAAAGCUAGACCAGUUCUCUGUGGAUUUGAAGAUAACAAGUGUUUUAUUUGGAACAAGAAGGAUUGCCAUCACCUAUUAGGAAAAAAUGGUGAACUGUCCUUCGGUGAAGGUGGAGCUACUCAGUGCUAGAAAAAGCUGGGAGCAUAACAGGGCUUUUCUCUUGGGCUCAGCUGCUCUUAGGCUUCUCCAUUCUGCCAGUAAACAUGUCCUGACAUUUUAAACUAUUAUUAGAAUAUGUAACAAUUUUGAAUAUGUGGUAUUGAGAGUGACUACUUCUUGAGCUGUUGUGUGCCAGAAGUGGUAUAUUUCAUUGGGUUUUUAUUUAAGUUGGAAGUAAUGUCUUUGACCUUUCUAAGUAAUUAUAAAGCCGUUUUUCCUUUGAACCUUCAUUGCAGGCAUGGGUUAUUAGGAGACAGAAGCCAGUGUAAAGAAGAAGUAAAUUAGGAUUUAGGGUUUUUUAUGACUAAGAAGAGUGAUAAAAGCCUGCUCUUAGUCAGUAGCAUGUUUUCUUACUGAAGUACAAAGUAAGAGUACUUAGAGUAGCAAGUAAAUAGUUAAAUUUGAGGAAGCAUAGGCUUGCAUGAGACUAAUGUACCAUUUACAUCCCUCCUAAAGUUUCAGAAUAAUAAAUUUAAUGUGUGCUAUAGUGCUUUCUUCUGUCGAUAACUGCCAUAUGGAUGGCUUAAAACCAGCCUUGAAUCAAUUCUGGAUUGACAUAAUCAAUCAAGCUGGGAAUAAGCUCACAAGAACAAUACAACACUGUCAACCACUCGGUGACAGCACAAACAGCUUUGCGAACUAGAACAAUGUGGAGGCAGAACACAAUGCCCUGCAGUGCAGAUCUUGGCCCCAAGACCAGCCCACUAUGUUUCCAGGACCAUGCUGCAGGAAUAUAGCAUUGAAAAGUAAAUCCCUGCUUGGCUGUUUUAAAAGGUGCUAUUAUAUCUGCUGCUACUUUUACUAGUACUUAAAGAAGAGAUCCUGCUCUCACCAACCUACACACACCUCUGCACUCCCAUCUCCUGCUUCCCCCUUUCCCCUUUGCUGGUUCCAUUUUACUGCACAGUGAGUCAGUUCAGGUCACUAAUCUGGCAGAAAACAAAUUCAGCGAUAAAAAAAAAGAGAAAUAGUUUUUCAGCAGAUUAGUGACUUGGACAAGCUCAUUAUGUGAUGAGUACCAGAGCAUGAUCUGGAAAGAAGUGAAGACAGUGGCCUGAAGUAGAAGUUCUCUACACUGGGAAGUAGAAUCCAUUAUUUUGAAGGCAACAAGCCUGCUUAGGUGAGUUCAGCUGUAACACAUAAGCCCAAGGACAUGCUGCAUGUGUACAUGUAGCUACAUGUACGUGUACAUGUGCUGCACUACGUGUAGUACAUGUGCACUACAGGAAGGGAAUAAAUUCUGUUUGCUUGUCUGUCCUUUCAGAGGUGCUCACAAUACUACACAUCAUGUUGUGACCGUGUACUCACAAUAAAUAUUUGGACUGUUAGUUGUUUUGAAACCCUCUAAUUAGUAUCUGUGAGACUGGGUAAAAUAAGCAGACAUUUCCCAUUUCUCAGGAGACUGCCAGAAUUAUGGUGAUUUCCUGUUGCCCCUCAGUGUGCACCACACUCAAAAUCUGUGUGAUCCACAUCAAAAUGUGUACUCUGCCAUAGGAGGUUGCUCCUGGGGUGGUGUGGGUGUGUCUUUAAUUUUCCACAUCCCCUCCAGGACAGGCUCCCUAGCAGCCUACUCACAGCAUUGUCCACAAAGUCAGAUUCAUUACCUGAUGUGCAACAAGCCUAUAGUUACACACGCAAAGGAGGUGCCCUACUUUAAUUGAUAAAAGAUAUGUCCUGCCUAGGAGGUGGAGAACAACUCUGAAAAGGGUGUGUCCUAUUAAAAACAUUAUAGUAUUGUAAGUAAGCACCAUCUGUUUUACUUGAGAGGUGACCAGUUUAGGACUAGGCAGUCUCAUAAAAAGCAGUUAUUCAUUGUAUUCUAAUGAGUAUGAUCCUGAAUGAGAGGGGGGCCAUCCAUAUCACCAUCACCGUCAUCUCAUUCCACAGGAGUGCAAAUCCUGUUGGAUGCUAUUAAAGGCAGGGAAUAAGAUAAAAUCCUUUCCUUCUCUGUGAAGCAGUCCAGUGGCAGUGUCCUGCACUGUAGCUGUGACACUGCAGCUGAUUUAUUUUCAGCUAGUGGAAUUGAAUUUUUUUUUUUGUGUUCUCAUGGAAUGCAUCUGAUAUUUCGAUGCAUAUCUAUGUAGAGAAGAUGCAUAUUUGGAGAGGAAAUUUAACAUUUACAUAAAUGUCAGCAGCUAAAUUUAUUUUUUUUUGUAUUUUGAAAACUAACUGUUGUGAUGCAGAGCACAGUAAGCUAUUAAAGCUCAUUGUGCGUAAGCAGGACUAAUAUUUUGUUUUCAACUUCAUAUGAUUAUUGUGAAGCUGCAUAAGUAAAAAGAGUAUUGAGUUCCUAAAUGCAGACUUUUGUUAAGUGUAUACUUAAUUUUCUGUGACAAUCAGCACAAAAAUAAUAAGUACAAUAAUUGUCUUGUAAAAAGCAUAUGAAAUGUGAAACUGAGGUGCUCUGGAUGCUGUUAGGAAAAAAUGGGGGACAUAAGUAGUUUGGGAAUUAAGGUAGAGCUUCUCUGCAUGGGAAUUGAUUGUUUCUCCUUGUUCUGACCUCAUCACUCCUGCUGCACCUGAAAUCUGUUCAGAGGCACAGAGCAGCCAGUUAUUUCUCACCUCGCUGUGACCUGUGCAGUCAAAAGCUGCCUUUUUGGUGCAACAGAAAACAGCUCUUGCAGAAGCACACAGUACUGAGACCAGUACUUAUGUUGGGAAAUUCAGCUUUCUCCCACCACCUGUCAGUCUUUACCUUUUUGUUUGAAUAUUGUCUGCUCCUGAAUGUUCUCAUUUCCAAACUGAUGGAAGCAUGAGUCUCCAUAGAGCAAAGUACUUAGCAGUAGACCUGGUUAGAAGCUUUUUAGAUGGAAGUCAGAGGGAGAUUUGUGUUUAUUUAUUUAGGACUUCUGUGGUCUUAGCAGAAAGUGACAGCAGUCUCAGCAACAGAAAAUCACAACGACUCUGGCAGUCUCCUGAGAAAUGGGAAAUGCAGGGUAGGGCCUGCUUUCCCAGGUUCCAACAAGAAUCCUAAUGGGAAUCUACUAGAAAAAGGGAUCACGUUGCCGAAGUCCCAGUGGUCUGAUAGCAGUGGCAGUGCUGCUCAGACUCUGCAGAGCCCUAGAUGGAAGCACCAAGUGCACUGUCAGUGUUGCCUGGUGUGCCUUUGGGGUGUGUAUGUACAGAGGGCUGGGAGCCAGCGUACUGGGAGAUGGACACUAGGAACUAGUAUCUGGGGUUUGAUGCUCAUAAAACAAACACUGACGGAGACAGACCAGAAAGAAUAAGAAAAGCAUUAUGGACUGAAACAAGAUUCUUUAUUUCAGUGUGAUACAAAGAAAUGGGAGUUACUUUGCUUUGACUGACAGUACCGAAACAAAAAAAAACAAAGCAGAUAAAAUACAUUUGUGUAGUACUAGGAAUCCUUGGAUAUCAAAGCAAUGAAAAAUUACAGCUAUUAUGCUUCAGAAUUCAAAUAAAUAUUUACAUAUCUUUAAACUAAUGCAUUACUGCCUUGAUUUACGUUAUAUCACUGGUAACUUAGUUUCCAGCAGUAUAAUGCUGUCUUAGCCAUCAGUCCUUUAGCCAGUGAUUUAUGUUUAAAAUGCAUUGAUACCAAAGUAACACUCUACACCAAGCCAGCUCUCCAAAAUGCCAGCAAAAUCUGUCUUUUUUUCUUCCAAAAGAAUGAAUUUGAUCCAUUUUGUUAAUUACAUUGACCUUUGAUUAUUUGUAGUAAUAUUGUAAAUAUUGGGCCCAGUUCACAAUCAAGUAGUAUGAACUUGUUGAAUUAAGGUUAUGAGAAAGUAUUUUUUAAAGAAAAAAAAAGAUUGCUACACCAAACAUAAUGGCUGCUCAGGAUUUGACUUUUUCAAUUACAGGAAUGUUUUUCAGCUUCAGUUUGUUUUCCUGUUAGAUGCAGAUGAUGUUUUUCAGGUAAUUUUUUUUUUUGUAUUAGAUGUAGAUUAUUUAUAUUUAUGAAGCUACUAAAGCAGACUGACAUAGUGGUUUUCAGCAGAGUCAAUACAUUUACUGAUUCAGGGAUGCUUUUCUAAUAAAUAAACAUUAAUUACACAGGUAUUGCUGUGAACCAAGCCAAUUGUCCAAAGGAAGCACAUUUCUUGCCUAAUUAAAAGUCUUUACAUAGGAAUAUGUUUUUUAUAAAAUAAUAAAUAAAUAAAAAAAUAAUCAAAUAGCUGCUGUGCAAAUUAUUAAAAUCAUGUGCCUUCCUGCUCACACUUUGUACCAACACACAAAAAAAAAGCAGUAAAAUGUAACGCCAUUUAGAAAAUAGUGUGUAAAAAAGGUAAGUAUUUCCUAGCACUGUGCUGGGACAUCUUUCUUCCUUUGGUGGGGAGGAAGAUAAAGGUGUGAGUAAUGUAAUAGCUUCCCUCUCAUGCAAGUGUUCAAAGAAAAUCAACAGAUACUUUCACAGGUGCAUUUGGGGGAAAAGGUGGUCUUUUUUUUGCAUUUAUAGUCUUCUCCCAAACUAUAGUGGAUAAAGACUGUAUAAGAUUUCUGUUCUGCUAUAAGUUAUGGGUUUGGCCUGCUUUUUCAAGGCAAACUCAAUGAGUGUCUCCUAAAAUCAUGUUAAAAAGGAACAUCUUUAUUAAAGUGUUCGUGUAGUGUGUAUGCAUGUGUCAUGAUUUUCAACAGCCUUUCCAGAACAGCGUUUCUAGUGACUGCAGUUGUUAAUGCUGCUGAGCGGUCCUUUUCUCAUGAUUUGGAAGUGGUGAGCUUUAGCCACAGCACAAUCUCCAAGCUCCCCCGUGUGGCACCACAAAUUUUGUUGUGCAAGGAACACACUUUGCUUUGAGGAAUUCAUAAGAAAGAACUCUGAACUUUGAGAAAGUACUUGAGCCUAUGCUGGAAUGAUUUGGAUACAGCUCAUCCUCCUGAGCAGACCUCUGCAUCAGAGCAGGUAAGCCCAGGGGUUUUGCUUGUGUAGCUAGGUCUAGCUUAAGUUCUUUUGAGUAGAGGUGAGGUGACAAACUGGGGAAGCAUGAGUGAAGGAGGAUGUGUGCCACAUCAUUAUUUAAGUGUAUUUUCUUUUUAAACAGUAAAGUCGUGUAGACCUUCAAGACUUAA